rnacentral:lncRNA from 1 species
CUAUUUAUUACAAAAUGACAAACGUUAACAGUAAACAUAAACUUCAAUGAACAAUUUCAAUAAUCCUAACUUUAAAAGAUAAACUAGAAAUAAAGCUUUAAAGAGUCCGCUAAAAUGAAAUAUUCCUUUUAAACUUUGAAAACGCUAACUUUACUAUUUUCCUUUACAAUUUAACCUUUAAAUAAAUGAAGUUUCUAAGAAAAAUUAACCAUUUUGACUAAAAUAAAUAACGAGCAAAUAAAAAUACCAACUGUAAGAACCAAAAGUUUAAGCAGAACUGACGACCAAGCGUCGAAAUUACGUCAAUGUUGGAUUGUUGGAUUGUUGGAUGUUGGAUGGUUGGAUUGUUGGAUCGCGCGCUUGCCGUCCAACUAAAUAUUUGAAUUCUUAAAUAAAUUACAAAAAUCACAAUAAUAUACAAUUUUAGUAACCUUUAUAUAAUAAACAAAGUUUGCAUGGUACUAAACAAAUUUCUAUAGUAACUAAAAAUACAACAAUAUAUACAGCGCCACCGGAAGUCACAAUACGUAAACAACAUUGCGAAAAGUUAUGUGUGUCACCGGCGGACCAAAAUGAUAAAUAUCAAGGAUAGUGAGCAUUAACAUCUACAAAACAUUGAAGACGUUGACUACAAAUACUAAAAGGAAUUACAAGAAGUAUGUGAAAACAGUUGCCAACACGUAAAAAUAGUGUUUUUAUUGAACAAUCGUCCCAAGUGACACAUGGGUUCUACUGCGCAUGUCAAUACAUUUCAUUCAUAAAAUUCAAGCACAGGUGCGUGGAAUUUACUACGAUUUACUACGAUCUACUACAGUUGCUACAAUUGGAUCUUCACAAAAAUACAAGACAUACAGUUGGAUUAUUCAGUGGAUUAUUACUAUGAACUGGUAAAUUAUUACAUGAACUUCAACUGGUUUAUCAAAUAUAUGCAAAUGACAGUAAUUCAUUAAUUCAAUAUUUCUACAAGAAUCAUAAUAUUGUAA